rnacentral:sRNA from 1 species
UCGAUACAAACCGGAACCUCCCGUGUUUUACGUCAGAAUGAGGGGUAUCGAUGUCGGGGGAGACCCUCCCACAAACCCGUGGGAUAGAGCGAAAGACAAAAGACCGGAAAACAAACAAAAGCGCCGUAACGGCGCUUUAGUUUU